rnacentral:rRNA from 1 species
UACGUAGGGAGCAAGCGUUGUCCGGAAUCAUUGGGCGUAAAGCGCGCGUAGGCGGCCCGAUAAGUCCGCUGUGAAAGUCAACGGCUCAACUGUUGGAUGCCGGUGGAUACUGUCGGGCUAGAGUACGGAAGAGGCAAGUGGAAUUCCUGGUGUAGCGAUGGAAUGCGCAGAUAUCAGGAGGAACACCUAUAGCGAAGGCAGCUUGCUGGGACGUUACUGACGCUAAGGCGCGAAAGCGUGGGGAGCGAACAGG